CCUACGGGUGGCAGCAGUGAGGAAUAUUGGUCAAUGGGCGCGAGCCUGAACCAGCCAAGUAGCGUGAAGGAUGACUGCCCUACGGGUUGUAAACUGCUUUUAUAAAGGAAUAAAGUGAGGCACGUGUGCCUUUUUGUAUCUACUUUAUCAAUAAGGGUCGGCUAAAUUCGUGCCAGCAGCCGCGGUAAUACGGAGGAUCCGAGCGUUAUCCGGAUUUAUUGGGUUUAAAGGGAGCGUAGAUGGGUUGUUAAGUCAGUUGUGAAAGUUUGCGGCUCAACCGUAAAAUUGCAAUUGAUAUUGGCAUCCUUGAGUACAGUUGAGGUAGGCGGAAUUCGUGGUGUAGCGGUGAAAUGCUUAGAUAUCACGAAGAACUCCGAUUGCGAAGGCAGCCUACUGAACUGCCACUGACAUUGAUGCUCGAAAGUGUGGGUAUCAAACAGGAUUAGAUACCCCUGUAGUC
rnacentral:rRNA from 1 species